rnacentral:lncRNA from 1 species
UUGAUUCUUAACUACUAGAUCAACCACUGAAUAUCACACAAACAAACAAGAAGAACAAACACCACUUAAUAACAUACAACAUUCACCAUACGUAAAGCUAAAAGAAAAGCAUUCGUUUUUCAAGAACGUCGCAAGUAAUGGUUAUAAUAAGAGGGUAUUCUUUUCAAGAAUGUGUGAUCUAUACUUUCUAAAACAAGACAUGAGCUUAAAAAUAUCUUAAUUAAAAUAUACAAAUAUUAGGAUCACCAAUUUAAUCUUUUAUAAAACGUCAUAUGUGAUAUGUCUAAGAUUAAGGGUUUAUAAGAUGAUAAAACAUGUUAUAACAAUAUUAAACCUUUUUAACCUUUUAGAAAAGAUAUACGUUAUAUAUCUAAGGUUAAUGAGUUAUGAAACACAUUGUUAAACAUUACUUUUAUAAAAAGCUCAUAAAUAGCUUAAACAAUUUUUUACGUGAAAAGAUCAUAAUUAUAUUAUUAAUCACCUAUUUAAGACGAGUUAGGUUAUGGGUCUUAAGUGGAUUUUCAUGCAAAAGAUAAUAAACAAAUAACUAUCUUUUAAUUUCAUUAGAAAACACAUAGCCUAUAUUAUUAUAUUGAAGUCAAUAUAUAAAGUAACAUUUUAAGUUAUAAAAGAACUUAAACUCUUAUUACUUUAUUUUAUCCUUUAGGAAAAACUAAGUGAUUCGUAUAUAAUCUGGACUAAAUUCUAUGAAAUCAUUAAUCAUGUCAUAAAUCUAGUUAAGAACAAAUUGACUAUAGGUUUGAUUAAUAAAUUAUGAUAAAUGAUAAUUAAUCUAUUAAUUAUAUUUAAUUCUAUUGUAGGGACAAAUAAUAUAAAUGAUCUAAUUCAUUAGAAAGGAAAUUAUGUAUAAACUAUCAUUUUAGUUUAUAAAAGCAAUAACCCCUUGUUAUCUUUUAAUUAAGAAAAUAUAAAUAAUCUAUUAAUUGGACAUAUAUUUAUCUUCUAUUUUUAUUAAGAAACAUAUGGUCUACAUAUUCUUUUAAGUUUAUAUUUAAGACGACUAUAUGUAAACAUCUAUAAUAAACAUUGUUAAAUUAUGAAAACAUGAUAUUUAUUGUAAAUGUCAUUAAAUAUUUUUUUAUAACAACCGUAAUUUAAAUUAAACUCUGAAAAUACGUUAACUGUUGGAUUAAAAUGCUUAUCACAUAAUUAUGAAACUAACAAAGCCAUUUCUAUUAUUUGGAUUCCUAAUAUACAUUUUAUAAUAAACUGUAAUAUAGAUCUACGUAUAAAUAAAGGUAGACUGAAGGGGUAGCUAGUAAAUCUAUUCAUUUUCUAUAAAGAUAAUCAUCUUUUUUUGUUACAAAAACAACGAGACUAAUUUUCUUAUUUGGAAAACUACGUGUGGAUAAAUUACGAAAACAUGUAUUUUAUUGCAAGCGUAUCUUAUAAAGCUAACUACACAAGAAAUCGAUUAUUUAAACUCUAAUUAAAAUAUUAAUCACAAAGUUAUAAAAUUUACAUAACCAUUUCUAAUUAAUUUGGAUUCCAAAUAUUCGGUAUAUAAAAAUAACAAAACUCUAAUUAAAAUAUUAAUCACAAAGUUAUAAAAUUUACAUAACCAUUUCUAAUUAAUUUGGAUUCCAAAUAUUCGGUAUAUAAAAAUAACAAACGUCACAAGAUCCGAACAAUAUAAUGCGUAGAUGGGAGGGUAGUCUGCAAAAAUAAAUCAUGUCUUCUACCUUAGUUCACGUCAAGGAUAGCGUCGUCGGGAGCGACAGCGUAGGGAGGUCAAGAAUGAUGCGGCAACGAACGACGAGGCUUCAAUAGGUGGCUCGCGAUGGCGACAACGACGUACACAAUCAAUCCCCGAGAGAAGAAUGCAGCGAUGUCAACAGGUGAUUCGAACGCAGGGCACCACCAUGGCAUCGUGGCACGCCACAGAAGCCGAGGCGCCAACUCUAGCGAGGUCUCCGAGCACAGGGGCGAAUUUCGUCGUUGCACGUCGACGAAGAAUAACGCUGGGCAGAACAUAGAGCGAGGGAUCGAGCGAGGCGGGUGGAACGAGUAGCUGG